AUCAAGAUACAGUAUCACUUCUCAUUCAAACCUGAUCAAUAUCAUAAGAAUAAUAAUCAUACGAUUGAUGAUCAUGAUCAUCAGCUGGUCCAGAAUAAUCUGGCAGCGGCAGCAGCUCCUUCACCUUGGUUGGUAGUACCAUUACCGGUUCAAUGCAUAGCUGAAUUCGUCAAGAACCGACUCCCGGUGGUGCAAUACAGGGACUUUCUCAGGAUCAAAACAGGCCAACCAGAAGCAGAUGAGCCCAGUAAUAAUAAUAUGCAUAUUGUGUGCAUGAAUGGCAUGGAGGGUAGCCAAGUGGUCAGAGAGCCAUGCAAUAUUGCUCGCAUGCUUUUCAUAAAGAGUGCUUGGAUGUUUGGAUUGAUGAGGGUCAGCUAACAUGUCCUCUCUGUAGAUCUGAGCUAGUGCCUAAUUCUACUCCGAAAACGAAAGACCAUAAGGAGAUGGGAGAUUUUGAAGAGGAUGAUCCAUGGAGGGCGGAGAGCAUGGUUUACUGGUUUG
rnacentral:lncRNA from 1 species